rnacentral:rRNA from 1 species
CAGCCGCCACGGGAAUACGAAGGGGGCUAGCGUUGUUCGGAUUUACUGGGCGUAAAGCGCACGUAGGCGGAUCCUUAAGUCAGAGGUGAAAUCCCAAGGCUCAACCUUGGAACUGCCUUUGAUACUGGGGAUCUCGAGUUCGGGAGAGGUGAGUGGAACUGCGAGUGUAGAGGUGAAAUUCGUAGAUAUUCGCAAGAACACCAGUGGCGAAGGCGGCUCACUGGCCCGAUACUGACGCUGAGGUGCGAAAGCGUGGGGAGCAAACAGGAUUAGAGACCCGAGUGGUCCCUGUCUCUUAUAC